GCCCGUUUAGCUCAGUGGUAGAGCGCGCCACUCGUAAUUACGUAAUAGCUUACGUAAGCUGCAAUGGUGAGGUCGGUUGUUCAAUCCAGCCAAUGGGCA
rfam:Ceriporiopsis subvermispora B unplaced genomic scaffold CERSTscaffold_8, whole genome shotgun sequence.